UCAGCAUGAUGAAAUAUUUCGGAUGUAAAGAUUACUUCUUGUCUGAAUUGCGCAAACAACCCCAUGUUGAUAUUUCCGUUGCCUUCCUUCUGAUCAAGCUG
rnacentral:snoRNA from 1 species